rnacentral:rRNA from 1 species
AUACGGAGGGUCCGAGCGUUAAUCGGAAUUACUGGGCGUAAAGCGCGCGUAGGCGGCUAUAUAAGUCAGAUGUGAAAUCCCUGGGCUCAACCUAGGAACUGCAUUUGAAACUGUAUGGCUAGAGUAUGGUAGAGGUGAGUGGAAUUUCAGGUGUAGCGGUGAAAUGCGUAGAGAUCUGAAGGAACAUCAGUGGCGAAGGCGACUCACUGGGCCAUUACUGACGCUGAGGUGCGAAAGCGUGGGUAGCAAACAGGAUUAGAAACCCUGGUAGUCC